rnacentral:lncRNA from 1 species
GUUCCUACCUCAUUCUAAUGAGUAGCCUAGGCUGAGAAUCACUGCACCUGGGUCCUCUCACCCCAGUCAGUGCUCAACAUCCCUUCUUUCUCCCACUUCAGCCCUGGUCAAUCCAGCAAGCCCUGUGCUCAGCAGUCACAAAUAACACAGUUCCAGGGUGGAUAGAGUGAGCCCCAUCUUACACACGAAGAAACUAAGAACCAGGGAGAGUAAACGACUUUACUCAAAGUCACACAAGUAAUUAGUGGGAGUCUAGGUCUCUCUGACUUAGCAGUAGUUCCCAGUUUGUCAGGCUGCCUUGGUAAUUUGGGAGCAUUAACUCAUUAAGCUAUUAAUGCAUCAGAGGGCUUAGUUUAUGGUAAUAAUGGCCCCUAGUUUUUAUAGAGGUAUUAGUGUUCACAUAACACUUUCAUAAACAUUAUUUUAUGAUAUUAAGAAUCAUUGCUUCAUUUUAAAGAUGAGAAAACUGAGACUAGAACUAUUUCCUUCCUCAUGGCCAUACUGGUAGAGGAACCAGUUUGAGCUCAAAGACUUUUAACUCCUAAUUCCAAAGAAGAGAGCACAUUGAAAAACUGGGAAGUAGGAAUGGGGAAGUGACGUACUACAAAACAAAUGGAUGAUAAACUUUAAAAUUGUCAAUAUCAUGAAAAGCAAAGAAAGGCUAAGGAAUAUUUCCAGACUAAUGGAAUUAAAGAGACAUGAAAAAUAGGGGUUGUGGGUGUCGCUCAGUGGUACAGUACAUGCUUGGAAGUGCCCCGAGUUAAAUCCCCAGC